ACAGCGACAGCCUCCGCGCGCGCUGGGAGUCUUCGUUGCUCGACUCGGACCUGCAGCACCAACUCUGGGCCACCCAGCCCGCCGAGGAAGCGUCCAAGGGCCAACAACCCUUGGCCGAAACCUAGGCGAGGUCCAGGCCCACCCCACCAAAUCACAGGCGUACCAAAGGUCACGGACGGCACGAAAUGGCCAAGGUUUGAUGAAGAGGGAUAAUAUUUGCACAUACGAAAUCGAAGCUGUUUUCAGGAAAAGCAUUUCCUCGAGUCAGCGUGUAACUUGUUCCACCACAUUCUGCCUGAUGAAUAAAAAGUCGGUAUGCGCUCUUGA